rnacentral:rRNA from 1 species
AUGAGACUAGUGGCAUGGAAUUGCCGGGACUUGGGGAAUGGCCAUGCAAUUUGUGGGCUUCUGGAUGUGCACAAGCGGGAAGACCCCGAUAUGUUAUUUUUUUAGACGACAAAGAUGGUGAGAAGUAAGAUUGAAUGGUUGUGGUGGAAGCUUGGUAUGCCACAUAUGGUAGUGAAGGGUUUUUGUGGGAAAGGAGGGGGUCUUGCAAUGUUAUGGAAGAGAGAGAUAAAUGUCAAGCUUUUAGAUUUCAGGUCGAGGUACCACCUUGAUACAGAAAUAACAGAAGAGGAUGGAAUUUGUAUGAAGGUUUACGGGUAUAUAUGGUGA